rnacentral:rRNA from 1 species
UACGUAGGGUCCGAGCGUUGUCCGGAAUUACUGGGCGUAAAGGGCUCGUAGGCGGCCAACUAAGUCGGACGUGAAAUCCCCAGGCUCAACUUGGGAACUGCGUCCGAUACUGGAUGGCUUGAAUCCGGGAGAGGGAUGCAGAAUUCCAGGUGUAGCGGUGAAAUGCGUAGAUAUCUGGAGGAAUACCGGUGGCGAAGGCGGCAUCCUGGACCGGCAUUGACGCUGAGGAGCGAAAGCUAGGGGAGCAAACGGG